rnacentral:rRNA from 1 species
AGUACUCCUACGGGGAGGCAGCAGUGGGGGGAAUAUUGCACAAUGGGCGCAAGCCUGAUGCAGCCAUGCCGCGUGUGUGAAGAAGGCCUUCGGGUUGUAAAGCACUUUCAGUCGUGAGGAAGGUAGUGUAGUUAAUAGCUGCAGUAUUUGACGUUAGCGACAGAAGAAGCACCGGCUAACUCCGUGCCAGCAGCCGCGGUAAUACGGAGGGUGCGAGCGUUAAUCGGAAUUACUGGGCGUAAAGCGCAUGCAGGUGGUUUGUUUAAGUCAGAUGUGAAAGCCCGGGGCUCAACCUCGGAAUAGCAUUUGAAACUAGGCAGACUAGAGUACUGUAGAGGGGGGUAGGAAUUUCAGGUGUAGCGGUGAAAUGCGUAGAGAUCUGAAGGAAUACCGGUGGCGAAGGCGGCCCCCUGGACAGAUACUGACACUCAGAUGCGAAAGCGUGGGGAGCAAACAGGAUUAGAUACCCCUGGUAG